UAAGCUAAAUUAAAAUUUAAUUAAUAAUCUAUUUUUAGCGCCUGGAUUUCUUGCUGAGGACACCAGCAGUAGUUCAUCUGAAACAGAUGGCUACGAAAUGCUGGAGGUAGAGAGUGAGGUAGAGUGUGAGGAGUCUAAUUUGACUUCUGAUGAGGAAGAGGAUGAUGCUAGUGAUAGCGAUGAUAUGGAAGAACUGAGUGCUGAAAUAGAGCAUUCUGAGUCUUCUACAACUGAUGAUGAAGAUGUUGAAUUUUCGGAUAGG